GGACUGCAAUGACGACGGAAACUCUGAUAUAAAUGCUGGAAUUGAAGUGUAGGAUGUACACACUAUGGUUUGAUAUGAGUGAGUUGAGGGUGCUCACAACUCGGGAAGAUUGGGCAAUGAAGUAAGCCAUUCUGAAAGAGAUCCCUUGAGAGUUGCCAUCUAAAAUUCCUGCGCAUGGAAAGCACAUCCCCACCUCAAACACAUGGAAUGGCGCAGUGCAAUUGGUCAGCAUGCGAGGGUGUUCAAGUGGCAGCAGGGAGGAGCUCAAGACAUUUGCAUACUUAAGGUGGUGAGGUCUCGAGGGCCAUUGAGGCCAGGCUCAAUGUUAAAACGAAUGGAAACCUGGAAAUCUUCAACACGUCACCAACAGUAUAAUUGGAGAGGCACUUUAGUCCUCUAAUACCCAACUAAAACGAUCAUAACAGGAAAAAAGAGCUGCUCUUGCAACCCCAGUGGAUCUUUACAGUUUAUGCAAUUUUCUCAGUUCUGUAGCGAGAAAAAACUACCUUCCACUGAUCCAAAGCCGAAGUACUAGCUUCCACUUGACGAUCUGCAGAAAAUAGUGCUGCCGCAAAUCCUUGGAGCUUGCUCUAGGAACAAGCACCACCCUACGAAUUGCAGAUGGUAUUGGGGAUUGCAUCUCGCACCCACUUGAUAGGAUGUGUAUUAUUAUAAGAGAACCCUGACUAGUCAUGUUUGAGCUAGAAAUUCAAAGUGUUAUUUCAAUGACUCGUAUAAACCAUGUUUUCAUGGCCUCAUGGAGGAUUGGAAUAUCUGCAUGACAAGUGCUCCCCGUCCAUAAUUCACGGUGACGUGAAAAAGCACUAACAUUCUGAACACCAAUCACGCUUGUUGCCGAAUUGGCGGAUUUAGAGCUGCCGAAACUGAGAAUCAUUGGGCACGAGGACGUCAUUCAUGUCACAAC